GAGGGUAUAGCUCAGUGGUAGAGUGUGUGCUUAGCAUGCACAAGGUCCUGGGUUCAAUCCCCAGUAACUCCA
rfam:Camelus ferus unplaced genomic scaffold scaffold898, whole genome shotgun sequence.